AUUGAACGCUGGCGGCAUGCCUUACACAUGCAAGUCGAACGGCAGCGGACCUUCGGGUGCCGGCGAGUGGCGAACGGGUGAGUAAUAUAUCGGAACGUACCUUUCAGUGGGGGAUAACGUAGCGAAAGUUACGCUAAUACCGCAUAUUCUGUGAGCAGGAAAGCAGGGGAUCGCAAGACCUUGCGCUGAUUGAGCGGCCGAUAUCAGAUUAGCUAGUUGGUGAGGUAAAGGCUCACCAAGGCGACGAUCUGUAGCGGGUCUGAGAGGAUGAUCCGCACACUGGAACUGAGACACGGUCCAGACUCCUACGGGAGGCAGCAGUGGGGAAUUUUGGAUAAUGGGCGCAAGCCUGAUCCAGCCAUGCCGCGUGAGUGAAGAAGGCCUGG
rnacentral:rRNA from 1 species